rnacentral:rRNA from 1 species
UACGUAGGGUGCAAGCGUUGUCCGGAAUUAUUGGGCGUAAAGAGCUCGUAGGCGGUUUGUUGCGUCGGCUGUGAAAUCCCGAGGCUCAACCUCGGGUCUGCAGUCGAUACGAGCAAACUAGAGUGUUGCAGGGGGAGACUGGAAUUCCUGGUGUAGCGGUGAAAUGCGCAGAUAUCAGGAGGAACACCGGUGGCGAAGGGCGGGUCUCUGGGCAACAACUGACGGCUGAGGAAGCGAAAGCGUGGGGAGCGAACAGG